rnacentral:rRNA from 2 species
CGGAAUAACCCAAGCUAUUCGCUGGCGGCGUGCCUAUACAUGCAGUCGAGCGAACUGAUUAGAAGCUUGCUUCUAUGACGUUAGCGGCGGACGGGUGAGUAACACGUGGGCAACCUGCCUGUAAGACUGGGAUAACUUCGGGAAACCGAAGCUAAUACCGGAUAGGAUCUUCUCCUUCAUGGGAGAUGAUUGAAAGAUGGUUUCGGCUAUCACUUACAGAUGGGCCCGCGGUGCAUUAGCUAGUUGGUGAGGUAACGGCUCACCAAGGCAACGAUGCAUAGCCGACCUGAGAGGGUGAUCGGCCACACUGGGACUGAGACACGGCCCAGACUCCUACGGGAGGCAGCAGUAGGGAAUCUUCCGCAAUGGACGAAAGUCUGACGGAGCAACGCCGCGUGAGUGAUGAAGGCUUUCGGGUCGUAAAACUCUGUUGUUAGGGAAGAACAAGUACAAGAGUAACUGCUUGUACCUUGACGGUACCUAACCAGAUAGCCACGGCUAACUACGUGCCAGCCCGCCGCGGUA